rnacentral:rRNA from 1 species
AGAGUUUGAUCAUGGCUCAGAGCGAACGCUGGCGGCAUGCUUAACACAUGCAAGUCGCACGGGCAUUUCGGUGUCAGUGGCGGACGGGUGAGUAACGCGUAGGUAUCUAUCCUUGGGUGGGGGAUAACGGCUGGAAACGGCUGCUAAUACCGCAUGAUAACUGAGGUUCAAAGGCGCAAGUCGCCUGGGGAGGAGCCUGCGUACGAUUAGCUAGUUGGUGGGGUAAAGGCCUACCAAGGCUGCGAUCGUUAGCUGGUCUGAGAGGAUGAUCAGCCACAUUGGGACUGAGACACGGCCCAAACUCCUACGGGAGGCAGCAGUGGGGAAUAUUGGACAAUGGGCGAAAGCCUGAUCCAGCAAUGCCGCGUGUGUGAAGAAGGUCUUCGGAUUGUAAAGCACUUUCGACGGGGACGAUGAUGACGGUACCCGUAGAAGAAGCCCCGGCUAACUUCGUGCCAGCAGCCGCGGUAAUACGAAGGGGGCUAGCGUUGCUCGGAAUGACUGGGCGUAAAGGGCGCGUAGGCGGAUGGCACAGUCAGAUGUG